UGUAGCUGUAGAAGGAGUCUGCUAUUGGAGAGAGCAGGAAGAAUGAGAUCCCAGGCAGCGUUUAAUAACAGAGGGCUAGAAAGAUGUCAGUACAGGAAGUGAAGAGUCAGAGAACAGCUGCAACAUCUGUUGAAUGCAAGGCUGCCUGGCCAACAGAAUGAGGAAGCUGUUUAGGAAGUAGAAGAGGAAAGAGCAGGAGAGAAACAGCGGUCCAGAGGGCAAAGAAAAGCCUCCCUCAUCACCUUUCCACUGCUUGCUGUAUGGUUGUCCCCCUGCUAGACAGAGCAGCAGCCUCAUGACUCAGACAUCCUGUUCUUGCCUCUGCUUGGGCAAUGAGAAGCAACUGGAGUCCACCAGCCUGGAAGUGAACUAGUAGAGCAAGCAUCGCACUGCACUGCACACGAGACAUGGAUGCAGACGGUGGACCCGAGGAGGUCCCAUGACACACAUCAGUACCAUCCGCAAAAAGCACGAAUAGAUUCAAGCUGAUGUUUGCCAUUGUGCUAUUGUCUCUUGUGUUAAUAAAAUUGAAAUGUGGCUUCCCAGUA